rnacentral:rRNA from 1 species
GACAGAGGGUGCAAACGUUGUUCGGAAUUACUGGGCGUAAAGCGCGUGUAGGCUGCUUGGCAAGUCGGGUGUGAAAGCCCUGAGCUUAACUCAGGAAGUGCACUCGAAACUUCCAAGCUCGAGUCCUGGAGAGGGUGGCGGAAUUCUCGGUGUAGAGGUGAAAUUCGUAGAUAUCGAGAGGAACACCGGUGGCGAAGGCGGCUACCUGGUCCGAUACUGACGCUGAGGCGCGAAAGCGUGGGGAGCAAACAGG